rnacentral:rRNA from 1 species
UGCGUAGGCGGAACUUUAAGUCAGUGGUGAAAUCCUGCGGCUCAACCGUAGAACUGCCAUUGAUACUGAUGUUCUUGAAUGCAGUUGAGGUAGGCGGAAUGUGUAAUGUAGCGGUGAAAUGCUUAGAUAUUACACAGAACACCGAUUGCGAAGGCAGCUUGCUAAACUGUGAUUGACGCUGAUGCACGAAAGCGUGGGGAGCGAACAGGAUUAGAUACCCUGGGUAGUCC